rnacentral:rRNA from 1 species
GACGAACGCUGGCGGCGUGCCUAAUACAUGCAAGUCGAACGCAGGGGGGACGGGCGAGUAACACGUGGGUAACCUCCCAUCAGAGGGGAUAACACUUGGAAACAGGUGCUAAACCGAUACUGAUGGAUGGACCCGCGGUGCAUUAGCUAGUUGGUGAGGUAACGGCUCACCAAGGCCACGAUGCAUAGCCGACCUGGGAGGAUGAUCGGCCACACUGGGACUGAGACACGGCCCAGACUCCUACGGGAGGCAGCAGUAGGGAAUCUUCGGCAAUGGACGAAAGUCUGACCGAGCAAUGCCGCGUGUGUGAAGAAGGUUUUCGGAUCGUAAAUCUCUGUUAUUAGGGAAGCGUUAUCUAACCAAGAAGCCACGGCUAACUACGUGCCAGCCGCCGCGGUAAUUC